rnacentral:rRNA from 1 species
GACGAACGCUGGCGGCGUGCUUAACACAUGCAAGUCGAACGAGUGGCGAUCGGGUGAGUACUGUCUGCGACACUGCCCGAUGGAGGGGGAUUACUACUGGAAACGGUACAUAAUACCGCCUACCAUCGGAUGUGACCAGAUGGGCUUAGAUCGUAGGUGAGGUAACGGCUAACCUAGGCGACGAUCCCUAGCUGGGCGGAGAGGAUGACCAGCCACACGGGAACUGAGACACGGCCCAGACUCCUACGGGAGGCAGCAGUGGGGAAUAGUGCACAAUGGGCGCAAGCCUGAUGCAGCCAUGCCGCGUGUAUGAAGAAGGCCUUAGGGUUGUAAAGGACGUUCAGCGGGGAGGCGUUACGCGCAGAAGAAGCACCGGCUAACUCCGGGCCAGCAGCCGCGGUAAUUC